ensembl:misc_RNA Y_RNA Y RNA
GGCUGGUCUGAAGGUAGUUAUCUCAGUUGAUUGUUCACAGUCAGUUACAGCUUGAAUUCCUUGUUCUGCUCUUACCCCGUUCUCACUACUCGACUAGCCUAAA